rnacentral:misc_RNA from 1 species
ACCCCCAUGUAUUCAUAUGCUAAUUGGGGAACUACCUUGCCAGCAGCUUUUUAGUCAGAGACAAGCCUGCUGCCUUACAAAGCCUAAACUGGCAUCAUGUUAUAGAAAAGCUAGAGUUUGAUAUCUAACACCAGUUGUGCAUCAAAUGGAAUUUCCCAUCCCAAAAACUUGGCAAUCCUUGAGUCUUAUAUCUGAUCUCUUGCUUUAUAUCCGAUCUCUCGCUUCUAGCAUAUCUGAAUUGCAAAAGCCUACAAUGCUAAAACCCUGUACGAUUGGUUUUCUUAUUCACAUCCAACUAAGAAAUUACGAGAAUUACUGAUAUUUUAAUCACAGUGACAACCAGCUUACCCAUAGAGAAAUGCUCCUAACACCGAAAUACUAUUCCUUCUAAAGGAAUAGAAAUCAUUUGAUACGAACUUAGGAGAAUCACA